GCAGUCGCCACGUGAAUACAGAGGGUGCGAGCGUUAAUCGGAUUUACUGGGCGUAAAGCGUGCGUAGGCGGCUUCUUAAGUCGGAUGUGAAAUCCCUGAGCUUAACUUAGGAAUUGCAUUCGAUACUGGGAAGCUAGAGUAUGGGAGAGGAUGGUAGAAUUCCAGGUGUAGCGGUGAAAUGCGUAGAGAUCUGGAGGAAUACCGAUGGCGAAGGCAGCCAUCUGGCCUAAUACUGACGCUGAGGUACGAAAGCAUGGGGAGCAAACAGGAUUAGAUACCCCAGUAGUCCCUGUCUUUUAUAC
rnacentral:rRNA from 1 species